CGGACAGGUGAGUAAUGUCUGGGAAACUGCCCGAUGGAGGGGGAUAACUACUGGAAACGGUAGCUAAUACCGCAUAACGUCGCAAGACCAAAGAGGGGACCUUCGGGCCUCUUGCCAUCGGAUGUGCCCAGAUGGGAUUAGCUAGUAGGUGGGGUAACGGCUCACCUAGGCGACGAUCCCUAGCUGGUCUGAGAGGAUGACCAGCCACACUGGAACUGAGACACGGUCCAG
rnacentral:rRNA from 1 species